rnacentral:rRNA from 1 species
CGUCGUGAGACAGUUCGGUCCCUAUCCGCUGCGUGCGUAGGAAAUUUGUGGAGGUCUGUCCUUAGUACGAGAGGACCGGGACGGACGAACCUCUGGUGUGCCAGUUGUUCCGCCAGGAGCAUGGCUGGUUGGCUACGUUCGGGAUGGAUAACCGCUGAAAGCAUCUAAGCGGGAAGCCGGCUCCGAGAUGAGAUUUCCAACUGACUUUGAGUCAGGGGAGGUGUCCUAUAGAUGAUGGGGUUGAUAGGCCGGGUAUGGAAGCACUGUGAGGUGUGGAGUUGACUGGUACUAAUACACCGAUCACUCAUCAAC